GACGAACGCUGGCGGCGUGCUUAACACAUGCAAGUCGAACGAAGAGCGAUGGAAGCUUGCUUCUAUCAAUCUUAGUGGCGAACGGGUGAGUAACGCGUAAUCAACCUGCCCUUCAGAGGGGGACAACAGUUGGAAACGACUGCUAAUACCGCAUACGAUCUAAUCUCGGCAUCGAGGAUAGAUGAAAGGUGGCCUCUACAUGUAAGCUAUCACUGAAGGAGGGGAUUGCGUCUGAUUAGCUAGUUGGAGGGGUAACGGCCCACCAAGGCGAUGAUCAGUAGCCGGUCUGAGAGGAUGAACGGCCACAUUGGGACUGAGACACGGCCCAGACUCCUACGGGAGGCAGCAGUGGGGAAUCUUCCGCAAUGGACGAAAGUCUGACGGAGCAACGCCGCGUGAGUGAUGACGGCCUUCGGGUUGUAAAGCUCUGUUAAUUGGGACGAAAGGCCUUCUUGCGAAUAGUUAGGAGGAUUGACGGACCGAAUAGAAAGCC
rnacentral:rRNA from 1 species